rnacentral:rRNA from 1 species
UACAGAGGUCUCAAGCGUUGUUCGGAUUCAUUGGGCGUAAAGGGUGCGUAGGCGGCGCGGUAAGUCGGGUGUGAAAUCUUGGAGCUUAACUCCGAAACUGCAUUCGAUACUGCCGUGCUUGAGGACUGGAGAGGAGACUGGAAUUUACGGUGUAGCGGUGAAAUGCGUAGAGAUCGGGAAGAACAUCAGUGGCGAAGGCGGCCUGCUGGGCUGUUGCUGACGCUGAGGCGCGACAGCGUGGGGAGCAAACAGG